rnacentral:rRNA from 1 species
CGCGGCCUAUCAGCUUGUUGGUGGGGUAGUGGCUUACCAAGGCUUUGACGGGUAGCCGGCCUGAGAGGGUGACCGGCCACAUUGGGACUGAGAUACGGCCCAGACUCCUACGGGAGGCAGCAGUGGGGAAUAUUGCACAAUGGGCGGAAGCCUGAUGCAGCAACGCCGCGUGCGGGAUGACGGCCUUCGGGUUGUAAACCGCUUUCGCCUGUGACGAAGCGUGAGUGACGGUAAUGGGUAAAGAAGCACCGGCUAACUACGUGCCAGCAGCCGCGGUGAUACGUAGGGUGCGAGCGUUGUCCGGAUUUAUUGGGCGUAAAGGGCUCGUAGGUGGUUGAUCGCGUUGGAAGUGUAAUCUUGGGGCUUAACCCUGAGCGUGCUUUCGAUACGGGUUGACUUGAGGAAGGUAGGGGAGAAUGGAAUUCCUGGUGGAGCGGUGGAAUGCGCAGAUAUCAGGAGGAACACCAGUGGCGAAGGCGGUUCUCUGGGCCUUUCCUGACGCUGAGGAGCGAAAGCGUGGGGAGCGAACAGGCUUAGAUACCCUGGUAGUCCACGCUGUAAACGGUGGGUACUAGGUGUGGGGUCCAUUCCACGGGUUCCGUGCCGUAGCUAACGCUUUAAGUACCCCGCCUGGGGAGUACGG